GAUCAUGGCUCAGGAUGAACGCUGGCGGCGUGCUUAACACAUGCAAGUCGAACGGGGAACAUCUUAACGGAGACUUCGGUUGAAGUUGUUAUGUUCCUAGUGGCGGACGGGUGAGUAACGCGUGGGUAACCUGCCUCAUACAGGGGGAUAACAGCCGGAAACGGCUGCUAAUACCGCAUAAGCGCACAGCAUCGCAUGAUGCAGUGUGAAAAACUCCGGUGGUAUGGGAUGGACCCGCGUUGG
rnacentral:rRNA from 1 species